GGGCUCAACCGGGGAUUGAACCCGGGACCUCCUGCAUGAGAGCUCCUUCCCAAAGCAGGAAUCAUACCGCUAGACCAUUGAGCC
rnacentral:tRNA from 3 species